rnacentral:rRNA from 1 species
CCUACGGGAGGCAGCAGUGGGGAAUAUUGGACAAUGGGCGAAAGCCUGAUCCAGCAAUGCCGCGUGAGUGAAGAAGGCCUUCGGGUUGUAAAGCUCUUUUACCCGGGAAGAUAAUGACUGUACCGGGAGAAUAAGCCCCGGCUAACUCCGUGCCAGCAGCCGCGGUAAUACGGAGGGGGCUAGCGUUGUUCGGAAUUACUGGGCGUAAAGCGUACGUAGGCGGCUUUCUAAGUCAGAGGUGAAAUCCCACGACUCAAUCGUGGAACUGCCUUUGAGACUGGAUCGCUUGAAGAUGGGAGAGGUAAGUGGAAUUCCGAGUGUAGAGGUGAAAUUCGUAGAUAUUCGGAAGAACACCAGUGGCGAAGGCGGCUUACUGGACCAUUCUUGACGCUGAGGUACGAAAGCGUGGGGAGCAAACAGGAUUAGAUACCCUGGUAGUCCACGCCGUAAACGAUGAUAACUAGCUGUCGGGGCUCUUAGAGCUUCGGUGGCGCAGCUAACGCAUUAAGUUAUCCGCCUGGGGAGUACGGCCGCAAGGUUAAAACUCAAAGGAAUUGACGG